rnacentral:rRNA from 1 species
AGACGUCUACAUUAGAUACCCCGGUAGUCCCAGCCGUAAACUAUGCGCGUUAGGUGUAUCGGUGACCACGAGUUACCGAGGUGCCGAAGGGAAACCGUGAAACGUGCCGCCUGGGAAGUACGGUCGCAAGGCUGAAACUUAAAGGAAUUGGCGGGGAGCACCACAACGGGUGGAGCCUGCGGUUUAAUUGGACUCAACGCCGGGAAGCUCACCGGAUAGGACAGCAGAAUGAUUGCCGGGCUGAAGACUCUGCAUGACUAGCUG